rnacentral:rRNA from 1 species
UACGUAGGGUGCGAGCGUUGUCCGGAUUUACUGGGCGUAAAGGGCGUGCAGGCGGUUCGUCAAGUCAGAUGUGAAAGGUCUCGGCUAAACCGAGGAAGGUCAUUUGAAACUGGCGAACUAGAGUGAGACAGAGGUUAACGGAAUUCCCGGUGUAGUGGUGAAAUGCGUAGAGAUCGGGAGGAACACCAGAGGCGAAAGCGGUUAACUGGGUCUAAACUGACGCUGAGGCGCGAAGGCUAGGGGAGCAAACAGG